UUGAAAACUGUGGAGCUGGAGCUCUAAAUAAUUGUAAAUAUGAGCAAACCAGAGAUGUGGCUGCAGGGCAAGUAUUGUCUCUGUGUGCUGUGGUUGUGACCAAACUGGGAAGUUGAAGAGAAAACACAACUUUGCAACAGAGGAUAAUUCUACAAAGCUCAUGAGCAAAUUCCACCCGAGCCUUUCAGGAUGCUGUGAACAUCACUGACAGCCGUUGUGAAAAAGUUGGGUCUGGGUUUGUUUCACAAGUGUGAAAUAAAUUUCAGAGCUCUCAUAUUCAAAAGAGCCUGGUAAAUUGCCCUAAACGAGCACCAAGUGUCAUCUUGUGUGGAUGACAGAGGAACCUGGAAUGCAGCUGAGAAGCCUUUGGACAAGCAGGAAGAAGUGGGCUUGGGCCAUGGGGAGUGGAGCUGACCUGGCAGAGGGGCCAAAUGGGCUGAUUUAACAGAUGUGAGCAUACACUGGAUGUGGAGGAGCUGGGGAUUGAGAUGAGGUGCAGUAGUUUGUCAGGCCCUGCUCCAGGAUGACAAUGAUGGGACCUCCAGGCUGGGGGAUUGAGAGCUGAUCUGGCUCCACUUCCCUGGUUAGCACAAGGCUGGGAUAAGCUGAUAGAGGGUGGAAGAAAAGCAGGAAAAAAAGGAAUUUCUCAUCUUAACACCUAAUGUGCUGCUGGCUUAAGACAGGAAGACAAGCGACCUCAGCUGAUCUAAGACAGAAGCACAGAGCACAUCGACAGCCAAGCCAUGAAACUCCUCCGCAGGAAUGAACCAUUAAUGGAAUUAACCAUCGUGCCCAAGGUGGACAGCUUGGGGUGAAAAGUUAAUCCUGAUAUAAUUAGAGACAGCCUUGUAACAGCAAAAUCGUGGAGUCACAGGUCACAGGGUGAGAUGCCACCAAGACCUUGCAGUGUGUCAAGUCUUGCAGGAAUGGGACAGGAGUGUAACAGAAAUCAUCUGCCUCAUGCUUCAAAGGAUGGAGCAAUAUCCUGAGAGAGCUGGGGAAGGCUUCUCUGUCCACCCAAUGAAGUGUUUGGCCUUGAGGAACUCAGGCAAGAAUAUCAAGUCCAACCAAGGACACAAAACCCAAACAAAUUAAAAUGCAUCUGGACUGAUGUGCAGUUCCCUAUAGGUACUGGAAAACCUUGUCUCUGUGAUGCCAUCAUGGAAUGAGCAGAGGACAGAAAUGACAUGGGAGAAAUCUGGAGACACCUUUCAAGGGAUGAAGAAUCAUCCAACCCCUCUGGUUUGAAGAUGCUGACAGGCCACUGCUCUGAGCUGUGUGGAGGGAGCAGAACGAAUGGAGGGAAGCACGAGCCCUGGUGGGAAGGAUGAGGUCUUGCUCCAAGAUAAAGGUUCAGGCAAGAGCUGGAGCCUCUGUGAAUUUGGCAGAGGGGAGUGUGAGCAGUGCUCACUCCUGAGCUCACAGCUCAGCACCCAGGCUCAGACUGAGCAUCUGGCAUUCAGCUCACACCAUGCUGUGAGCGGCAGCACCUGAAGAGCUUGUGAAUGCCCUCUCCUACUGGUGGUGUAAUGGGAAGGCCACAUCUUUAACCAGGGGACAAGGCAGGGAGGGGGGAAACACUGAAAUCUUCCCAUCUCAAGUGGCCAGAGUGUAUCUAUGGGCAUCCCACCUUUCUCUGUGCUCAGGGAAGAGAUCUUUCACCAUAAUCUGCAGCGGAAAAAAUGUUCUGUGUCUUUUUUUUGGCCCAUGUUGGCUGAAACCGCCCAUAAACCACUAAUUGCCACUGCUAAAAGGGAGCUGGCAGACAUGAAAUUUGCCCAGAUUACCCAGAUUACUAUUUUAUGGGUAGAAAUAUGAUUUCAAACUGACUGUGGGGCAGGUUGCAAACUGGUGUCAGAGAGAUGAGAAACCAUAAUGUAGCAGAGCCCAAAGACAGACAUUUUUUGUGGCAGUUUACUUUAAAAAUAAAGCAAAUGGACUGUUGUGUCUCAGACAAAGUCUGAGAUUCGUCGAGCAACAACCUUGAGUGAGAGCACAAAGAUUUAUACAGGUUUUUCUUAAUAGUUUGUCAGGCAUGGCAAAGUUACAGGCUUCACAUUUGGGACUUAAGAAAGAAGGACCCCUCAGAGUGACAGACUCAAUUAUGCUGAUGACAGAAGACACUGUUUUUCCUGCCCCCUUGCUCUUGCUUUUGUGAGAUAUGUGAGAUAGCCUUACCCAUUACUUGGGGGAUUCCUCCACAUCAGAGUUAGAUGGUCCUGACAGAUGAUGGGCAAGAUUCUGAGCAAUUUGCUGAAAAGUCCAAGUCUGCAUCCAGUCCCCAAGAGACUCUAUUCAACAAGUAGGUAGGAAAUGGCUUUACAUUAAUGAAUACUUAAUGAAAAGGAGAGCAGAAUCAGAUCUGAUUGGUGCUUGUGGGGUAUCGCCCACAGAACAGGUUUAGCCACCUGCAAAUACUCUUUCUGCAUGAAAUGAAGCAAGGAGACCCUUUGAGACGUGUGUCAAGCUCUGUAGCCCAAGGAGCCAAGAGUUUGCAGAAGUUCACAGACACGCAGCUAAACACAAAACAGUGCUGUGAUUGCGGUCCCUGGGUUACCACCACUUCCUGAACACCACAGAAUUCACACACACAAUGAAAAUCAGAAGCCAGAAACAGCAGUUAUUUCACAUAAAAUUGCUCCACAAUCCCAUGAGUGCAGGGUUUGUGUAACCAGACGUGCCUAGAGAAAGAAUAGGCAGCACCUUCUGCAGCAGCCGGGAGGAGUGGAGGCAGCAGGCCCUGGGCUUUUCUUCUAUCCUGGAAGAGCUUUGGCAGCACAUGGGAAUGGUAAGGCCACCAUGUUCUGGGACAUAACAUCACCAGGAAAAACAGACUCCCAUUCCCAAUGAGAACUCCUCUGAUGGUGCCACAGUGACUACAAGUUACAGGGCAGAGCUCCUCAGAAGUUAUUCAAACACUGCUAAUUGUUUGGCUGUAAGGUUUUGAGGUCACAAGCUAUAGAAAUGAUACUUCCAUGUUUUGGGUGGGGAAGGGAGGUAGGACCUCAGGAACUGUGUCUUUAAGCAGCUUAGUUCUGGAGACAGGAAGUCUGGCGAUGGGCUGCAGCAGUGCAGAUUUUAUUAUGCAAUUUCUCUUGGAACUAGUCCCUGAAUAAAGGAGUUAUCCAUUAAGCACCUGCUUCACCCUCCCUCCUGAACACCACAAACGAAGGUCUCAGGAAUCCUUUCAAGAGCUUACCCAUCAGUGGGGGAGCAGGGAGCCAUGCACUGGGGUCCAGACUGGUAAUAUUGAUGUAUUUGGUUUAUAGUGUCUGUCAAAGGGUUUCUCUUCAUUAAAUCCUCCUACUCUGUUUGAGCUUGUUCCAUGUUUGGCAUUACUAGUGUACUAGUGGCUGAGGCCAUCUAAGUCUUGCAAUACUGAUCCAAAGGGCUGUGGUACCCAGGCUACUCUUAGGCCCUCAGGAUAUUUAAUCAUAGCCCUCUUCCUAAGGGGUAGCCAAGGUCUUCCUCUCCCUCCUAUCAUUAACCUAUCAUUGCUGUUCUGAUCCCAUGGUAGGGGCAGCUGGGGACAUUGCAGCACGGAGAAGCUGCAGGACACAGUGGAAGUAGGAUCCUCCUCCUCUGCCCCUACUGCCUGGGGUAAAGGAUUCCCUCCCUCCAAAGCACCUCCUUUCCCUCCCACUCUGCUCCUGGGACUUGCAGCCCCACUCUGACUUCACCAACGUGGCAAGCCUGGCACUUGCUGUAAAGACAGAGGAGCUCUCCCAGCUAAUCAUGGCCUCCAUACAUCCUCUGCCUUUCUCCCAACAGUGGGUACAUGGCAUUUCCCUCAGAGGCACUGACACAGCAGCUCCUGUCACAGCACUGGGGCUGUCAGGGCCCCUGCCUCAGCGGCUGUGUGCUCAGGCCUGCAGUACUGGUGUAACACGGGUGUGUCACCCAGCACCAGGCAGCAUGAACAUCCUCUGGAGAGGGGCAGUAGCUGUGGGACUGCUCAGGAUCUGUCCCCAGUGGUAAACUCCAUCCUGGCUUUAUCCCAGAGCUGCAGAGCUCAUGCAGCAGCAGGGAAAGGGGUCAUGAGGGGAGCAAAGUGCUAUGGAGAGCUCCUGGUGUCAGCCACUCCUGCGUAUCCAUAAGUGAUGUCAUUGUAGAAGUACAGACUCGUUUGGGUUUGAGGGAUUUUAAACACCAGCUCAUUCCACCUUCCUGCCAUGGGCAGGGACACCUUCCACUAGCUCAGGUUGCCCAGGCCGUAAUGACCAAGGUAAGCACAGUGAUCCAGGAUGCAAUUCAAAAUACAUCAACCAAACUUGUUAAAAAGUUCAAGCAGGAGCCAGAAAAAGACUGCUGUCCUCAGCUGUGCCUUAGAGUCUGACCUGACUCCCACUCCUCACCUCCAACAGCAAAACAUUUUCCUUUAACCUAAACUGGGAUAAAUUCUUAAUACCACAGUAAAAUGCUGCUGGGUAAGAGCUGCUGCUUUUACAUCUAGAGGCACUGUGAGACACUGAACCUGUCCCACACUGAAACAGACGCAAACUCACUGCUUUGGAAGGAAAUUAAAGCAGGCACAACCAGAGAGCCCUUACUUGUGUAACUAAUGAGUAACACAGUGAUAGAAGCAGAGGUCUGACAGACCUCCACGUGAUUACAGCCAGACCAAGGACAGGCACCAUGUAAAUAAAUACAGAAUUUGCAAGUAAAUGUAAUGAAAUUCAUGUAAAUGUAGAAGUAAAUGUAAUGAAUUCGAGUUUUGCAGUAAACAAAAGGCAGACUUAUUCUUUGCAAAGGAAUCUGUCAUUAUAGAUCUCCUUUAAACCAAUAAAUUAUUGCUGUUGAAUCCA